rnacentral:rRNA from 1 species
GGUAUUGAAAUAAGAUUUUAAAUGAGUGCUAAGAGAAUGAUUAAACAAUUAAAAACUUUCUUUAAUUAAAUAAUUGAAUUUAAUUUUUUUUGUGCAAAAGCAAAAAUAAGAUUUAGGGACAAGAAGACCCUAUGAAUUUUUAUUAUUAAUAUUUUGUAAUUAAAUUAUUAAUAAUUUAAUUGGGGCGAUAAAAAAAGAAUAAAUAUCUUUUUAAUUAUUAAAUAAGUUCCGUUUUUAGCGAUUAAAUGAAAAAAAUACUCUAGGGAUAACAGCGUAAUAAUUUUGGAUAGUUCAUAUAGAUAAAAUAGUUUGCGACCUCGAUGUUGGAUUAGGAUUCUUUUUUGGUGUAGAA